UACGUAGGGUGCAAGCGUUGUCCGGAAUUAUUGGGCGUAAAGAGCUCGUAGGCGGUUGUCGCGUCUGCUGUGAAAACCCGAGGCUCAACCUCGGGCCUGCAGUGGGUACGGGCAGACUAGAGUGCGGUAGGGGAGAUUGGAAUUCCUGGUGUAGCGGUGGAAUGCGCAGAUAGUCGAGGAGGAACACCAAUGGCGAAAGGCAGAUCUCUGG
rnacentral:rRNA from 1 species